rnacentral:rRNA from 1 species
CGCGUAGGCGGUCUGUUAAGUGUGAAGUGAAAUCCCUCGGCUCAACCGAGGACGUGCUUUGCAUACUGGUGGACUUGAGUCCGAGAGGGGGUGGUGGAAUUCCUGGUGUAGGGGUGAAAUCCGUAGAGAUCAGGAGGAACACCGUUGGCGAAGGCGGCCACCUGGAUCGGUACUGACGCUGAGACGCGAAAGCGUGGGGAGCAAACA